GUACAGGGUAGCCUAGUGGACAUGGCAUCUGCCCGGUAAGCGGAACACUGUGGGUUCGAUUCCCAUCCCUGGACA
rnacentral:tRNA from 1 species